UCUGAUAUAGUGUAGUGGUUAGCACAUCUGUUUGUGGAGCAGAUAGCGGUGGUUCAAAUCCACCUAUCAGGACCA
rnacentral:tRNA from 1 species